rnacentral:rRNA from 1 species
AGAGUUUGAUCCUGGCUCAGAAUCAACGCUGGCGGCGUGCCUCAGACAUGCAAGUCGAACGAUUAAGACUUCCUUCGGGAAGUGUAUAAAGUGGCGCACGGGUGAGUAACACGUAAGUAAUCUACCUUCGAGUGGGGAAUAACGUCCGGAAACGGACGCUAAUACCGCAUAAUGCAGCGGCAUCGAAAGAUGACAGUUGUUAAAGGAGCAAUUCGCUUGAAGAGGAGCUUGCGGCAGAUUAGCUAGUUGGUAAGGUAAUGGCUUACCAAGGCUACGAUCUGUAUCCGGUCUAAGAGGACGGUCGGACACACUGACACUGAAUAACGGGUCAGACUCCUACGGGAGGCAGCAGUCGGGAAUUUUGGGCAAUGGGCGAAAGCCUGACCCAGCAACGCCGCGUGAAGGAUGAAGUAUUUCGGUAUGUAAACUUCGAAAGAAUGGGAAGAACUCAAUGACGGUACCAUUUAUAAGCUCCGGCUAACUACGUGCCAGCAGCCGCGGUAGUACGUAGGGUGCGAGCGUUAAUCGGAAUUACUGGGCGUAAAGCGUGCGCAGGCGGUUUUGUAAGACAGAUGUGAAAUCCCCGGGCUUAACCUGGGAACUGCGUUUGUGACUGCAAGACUUGAGUGCGGCAGAGGGGGGUGGAAUUCCACGUGUAGCAGUGAAAUGCAUAGAUAUGACACAGAACGCCAAUUGCGAAGGCAGCUUACUAAGCCAUUACUGACGCUGAGGCACGAAAGCGUGGGGAUCAAACAGGAUUAGAUACCCUGGUAGUCCACGCCGUAAACGAUGAUCACUCGCUGUUUGCGAUAUACAGCAAGCGGCUGAGCGAAAGCAUUAAGUAUCCCACCUGGGAAGUACGACCGCAAGGUUGAAACUCAAAGGAAUUGGCGGGGGUCCGCACAAGCGGUGGAGCAUGUGGUUUAAUUCGAUGAUACGCGAGGAACCUUACCUGGGCUAGAAUGCUGGUUGACCGAGGGUGAAAGCUCUCUUUGUAGCAAUACACAACCAGUAAGGUGCUGCAUGGCUGUCGUCAGCUCGUGCCGUGAGGUGUUGGGUUAAGUCCCGCAACGAGCGCAACCCCCAUCACUAGUUGCCAUCAGGUAACGCUGGGAACUCUAGUGAAACUGCCGUCGUAAGACGUGAGGAAGGAGGGGAUGAUGUCAAGUCAUCAUGGCCUUUAUGCCCAGGGCUACACACGUGCUACAAUGGGGCGUACAAAGGGCUGCCACUUAGCGAUAAGGAGCCAAUCCCAAAAAACGCCUCUCAGUUCAGAUUGGAGUCUGCGACUCGACUCCAUGAAGCUGGAAUCGCUAGUAAUCGUAUAUCAGCAAUGAUACGGUGAAUACGUUCCCGGACCUUGCACACACCGCCCGUCAAGCCAUGGAAGCCGGGUGUACCUAAAGUCGGUAACCGUAAGGAGCCGCCUAGGGUAAAACUGGUAACUGGGGCUAAGUCGUAACAAGGUAACC